AUGACCAUGGGGCCUGGGUGGGCUCUUAUCUCCACGAGCUUCAGUCUCCUGACCUGCCUCACGGGGGUGCUGGGCAGGCGGUCCCCCCUGCUCUUUCCACCGAGCUGGGUCAAGCCCCGGCACACCGGCACGCGGGCAGGACCCCAAGGAGGGACAGAGGCCCCCCACCCCCUAGUCCAUCUGGCCUCCCAGAGCGACUUACCCAAGGCCAAGCGGAGGUGGAGACGGAGCAGGGAUCAGAACCUCUGGGGCCGGUUCCGUGUCCUUGUGCGGUCUGCUAGACCAUGCCCUGGAAGAGAGGGUGGACAGGUCACACGGGUGUGCACACCCCGGCCCAGAGCCCGCUGCCUUUCUCUCCAGUUGCUUCUGCGUGCCUGUGGGGGGUAUCCACAGCUUUUUCAAGCCCCACACCAAGUACAGAAAAACCCUGGCUCCUGGUCCCCGUCUAGCAGCGUAGGGCGGGGUCAUGGGCAUGUGUACCUCCUGCACCAGGAGGGAAGGAAGCCCACACACCCUGAUCGGAGAACCUCCGGUGAGAUGCUGGCCACCCCUUGGGUGAUGGUCACCAGCUAUCACAAAGCUGGGCAUGGCCUAUGGCCUCUGUGGUCUGCAAACCCAGGUUCAAGAGCUGGCAGCAUCACUGAGUCAGUGCAGCCCAUCACUACAUGGCCUGUGGCCAUACCUGACGCUCUGAUCCUCGGGGUAAUUGUAGGGGCCCAGUGGGUUGUGUGCACCAAGACCUGGCACAGAGUGGCCUCACAGGAGCUCCCACAGCCAAGCUCUGGGCCCUGCAUGCAGCGGGUGGUCAGAAGGCAUCACCAACCUCCAGCCAACCACUCAGAGUCACACGGUCACUAUGAGAAGAGAAACUCAUGCACCGUGGGCCCCGAUCACUCCCCACCUUCAACCAUCACUCCCGGCUUCUGGCACAAACAUUCCAGACGCACCAUGUGCAUGGCUAACGGACGGGCCAAGCUCCUCCUUGACCUCCUUCUGUGGACUGGCAGCACCCUGUACCUGAGAUGUAACUACAAUAUUCUCAUGGCUACCGUCCCUGCUUGGCUGGGUGCCCUGCUAAAAGCUUCCUAUGCAUUUACUUGCAUUAUCCAAUUUAAGCCUCCCGACAGCCCUAAGAGGUAG
rnacentral:lncRNA from 1 species